GGAAGAUAAUGGUGUACAUGAGUCAACUGAUUGCACCGAUGGUACUGAUUGUAACACGGGAAAAGUUCUAAGGACAUUGACUUUGGUUACAUGUCAUUUCGAUAAUAAGACUAUUAAAAAUCGCAUGGAUACAUUUAACUCAAAAGAGAAUAAUUACUGCCCGAAGAAAUUACGUACCAAAACUAAUACUCCAACAUUAGCAAGAAAACUUUUAAUUUCAAAUUUUGAUUCAACUCCGAGUAGUAGUUUAUCGUAUUUCAAUCAUGAAGAUAUGACAGUACUGAUGGAUACCUCGGAAAAUGUUUCAUUGAAUCCGGAAAGGAAGAUUAAACGUAGUGAGAGUUAUAGAAUGGCCAAUAGUCCAAUAAUGUUUAUUAAAAAAAUAUCCGGUAAUGUGGAUAGAUCGACAAAAAUUAUAAGAACAGCCUCGGAAGAAUUGCGAGAAGACUUGAUUAAGGAGAGGAUUAAUUAUCCCGAUAGUGUAGCUAGUCCACCGAUUUUAGAAAACACCAGUGACUUAUCUAAUUCAAGUUCGAAUAAUAAUAAUGAUAAUAGUAGUAAUAACAAUAAUAAUUAUUAUAAUUAUCGGUUGAACUUGCCUAGGACUACCCGACCCCGUGCACAAGAUUUCGAACCAGCGCGUGUUCUUAAAUACUCAAGCACUGAUACAGAAAUAUGGUAGAUACGGAUUAAUAGUGAAAGGGAAAUUGCAAUGAAAUACAAAAGAUAAUGGAUUUUAUAAUCAUUAAUCUGAAGGUCUUUCACUCUUCCAAUGACGUUUGAUAUUUUAUUGAUAAAUUAAAUUUACUAAUAUUUGACUAACUAGGGCAAAAGGUGAUUUCGAAUUUAGCUAGCAAAUUAAUUGAAUUAGAGAUUUUUUUGUAAGACAAGUAGAUGAGAAUUCAUCAAAUUAUUGGAAGGUUGAGACAAAACAUGAAUAUAUAGGAUCCAAUGACAAUGAUUUUUGAAUGAAAUAAUCGGAAAUUCAAGAAUAAAUUCAUCUCAAUUUUCCUAAUUUUUAGUGAAUUGUGCGUUCUUGAUACACUACUGGAAAAAGUUGAGUCGUUGAAGAAAUUAUUGAAUUUCCAAUUUCAGAUAAAGUUGCAGGGACAUAACUCCUUGAACUUCCUUGAUUUAAUUUAAUUAACAUGAAGGAAUGAAGAUGGAAUUCGCGUUUUGAUGGAAUAAUCAAGAGACAGUGUAAAUUCCCAAUAACAAAAUUUCUUGAAAUGUCAACGAAAUUGUUGACAUUUAUAUCUCGACAAUUUAUAAUAUCUGAGUGGCUAGGUGUAGUACGGGCUUCUUUUUUUCUUUCGGCAGAUGAAAAAUUACUUAUGUAUUCAUAUACAUAAUUAAUUACAUAUUUGGCAGAUGAAAAAUUAAUUACGUAUUCAUUUUCAAAUACCCCCUCCUCCAUUUUUAUGGAAAAAAAUAUGAAAACUCGCUCUCUCAUUUACGAUCCCCCUCCCCUUUUUUCUGUGUUCAUUAUUCUUUAACACUACACGCUGCCAAGCAAAGGGGAUACACUAAAGUAGUGACUCAGAUCCGGGGGGCCAGGUGACCCCACGCCAACGCUAGUAAUAACCCUAACGCAUCAAGGGUGGGACGGACCACCCUUGAUUCGAGCAGCUGGGGAAGCUACUCGAAAAUUCCCUUGUUCAUUAAAAAAUUAUGUCUCCCUUCCUAAUAAACAUUAAGGAAAGCAACUAUCACUACUCGAAUGAAAAUUAAAUUCUCCCGAUCAAGCCGUGUUUCAUCCCCUCAUCUCAGAAAAAAAAAUCAAAAUCCACGAAAAAAGUCGAAGCGCGUUUACGAGUCCAAUGGAAGCUCGGAUCAACCUCGACGUGCCCAGCCACGACAAAGAAGCUUGAGCCAUGAUUCAGCCGACGGUUGAGCCAAUCGCCAGCCAAUUGCGAAGCCUUAACCUUGGGUACCAGAGUUGGACCAAGAUUGGGUCAAGAAUGCCCACCGAUACUUGAACAACAGGCACCUACUGACUUUGGCUAAAGUGCACUCACUAAUCAUCAGGAUCUACGUGUUUGAAGAUCAUCACCGAGGCCACAAAACUGUUGCAAAGACGAAUUCUAUGACGUCGGGAAUCUGCCGUCACAGAUGAUAGAACGGUGAUGACUGUGCCUACGGUAAUUUGAGCUUUUCAGUUAUAAUCUUUCACAGGCAGAACACCCAAAUCUCAGUUAGAACAUAAAGUGUCCAGACAUCUGUAGGAUGCAAGCACUUCAAUCAUCUGCUUCUUGCACUCGAGAUUCACAGCUGCUGAAGGAAUGGAAUGACCUUUUUCGAAGACGUUUUUUUUCUUCAACGUGUUCAAUGUAAGACCUUUGCUAGCAGACCCCUCGUCCAUAGUCUUGUUUUUUUUCUCUCAGAUCUAGGGAUCAGUAACUUAAAAUUACCAAGUCACUCGUGUAUAGCAGCAUCUGCAGAUCAGAGUGGGCAUUGAGACCAUGUUAGUGGAAGAACUGGACAAGAUCAUCAAGUUAGAGUGAACAGUCGCUGCUCAGCAAUUCGUCUUGGAUAAUUCCCAUACCGACGAUACCGCUCUCGGAGAGGGUCAUCCGUAGAGUGGCCUGGGAAGAGAAGCUGAUCAGGAUAGGAAUUAUUUUCAUGCUGAGACCAGUAGCAUAUCAAACCGAUCAGAGUUUAUAAUGAGGGACAGGGUCCAAUACCUUUUUGAAAUCGACGAAAAGGGCAUAAACUCAGGCGAAGUUCUUUCAAAGGCAAAUUUCAUUUCGUCUUUGCCCUUUACAAAAUCUACCUCCUCUCCAGGAAUAAACUUGGGCAAUACGUUCUAGUCAAUUACAGACUUGAAUAAUCUCUGUAAACAGUUUGACACACGAAUUGACGAGCUCAAUAUCACGAAAAAUCGCAAGGGCAUGGACCUUUCUUCUGCAAUAUACCACAAUAUAUACAACAGGAUAAUUCGUCCACCUUGUCCACCUCGAUGGAAACCCCUCGCAGUGCAAAAUUUUGUGGAAUAAUCCAAGUAGAUACCAAAACUAUUCAUCUGAAAGAGUUUCUACAUGGAAAGAAAUUUUUAAUAGUUAAUAAAAUGCUACCAUAGUAAAAAAUGCUAUAACAUUGCACCACAAAACCAUAAGUCAUUUAUUUGAAAAUAUCAUAUGUAACAGUGAAAUGGAAAAAUCCUGCGGUUCUCAGAGCUGUUGAAAUAUAAGUAUUAUUAGGAUUAACAUAUUGCGAUGUGAAUCCUUCACAAGUUAUUUCGCUUUGUAAGUGAAAAUUGUUCUGUUUCGAAGGAAAAAUUACUUUAUCUUCAAUUUUAAAACAUAUAAAAUGGCAAACUAUCUGUUAUUUUGUUUCAUAUUGUUGUUCUCUUGUCGAACUGAUAGAAGUAAGGAUUUUACAUCAUACAUUUGAUGAAAGCACACGGAAUUUUUUUCUACAAUCAGAAAUAUCAUAGAAUACGUAGCAUACUUUAUUUGAAAACAAACUAAUUUUCAAAUGCGUCAUUAAAAAAUAUACCUCUCACUCCCUUUUGCGUCCAAAAAAAUCGAGUAUUUUAAAAUUAAAUUAAAUAUAAAUUAUUUUUAUUUGGAUUAUUCAUAGAAAAAUUCGAAAAACUGUUAUAGAAGGUACAAGAUGAAAAUUUACUGUGGUAAAAGUAAAUCCUAAAAAAAUCAGAAUCUAAAAAAUAGAAAGGAGACAAUUUUAGGAUGGAUUUAAAUCCAAAAAUGUUUCGUCACUGCAACGCUAACAUAACAGUUUUUUUAUUAAAUUUCUUUCCAUGUAGAGGCUAAGAGUUCAGUCGGGGUGAAUUUAACGUCCAGGCCAUGAACGCCCACUCUAGAAAGUUGAAUCAUCGCCAGUAGGCGUCGGGUAACUACGCUUAAGGAAUCUGGACCUUUCAGUAACUCCGAUCGAGUCCAAUUCUACCCAGAUACAGACUUUUUUUCGCUUUUUAUGGCAUCCUAUUCAUUGUCCAAUUAGCGACCAAUCCGUUUUUCUUCCUCGGCGUAUUUUCCUUUCUUUAUUACCUCAACAUCCAGUGAAAAUGACUUUAUUAGGCUUAUACACUUGUGCCCGAAUCAGGGAUUAUGGCAGCGGCCACCAGGUCAUCGAUGAUUAUCCGUACCUGUCUUCUUUUUCCAGCAGUACGGAUUACCUUCGUCAAAUUCUGGUCAACCGUGUCCACUUCUGAGUCUGCGAAAUCUUCUACGCAAGCACUCAAAAGCACGUAAAUGAGCCCUCAUUAAGGUAUCUCCGGAAGAUCAAAAAGUUAUUGUGUAUUUCAAGACCAUCAAAGUCGACGAAAAAUGGUCGGAAUCAAAAGGUUCUUCACCGAUGACGAGAUCUGCCACCAGCUGGACCUUGAUAAUAUUUAUGAAAAUCUAUUCACGAAAAUUACUACACUCUAGACUAUUGCAAGUGAAGAUGGAAACUAUCAUCAUUGGAACGGCCGAUAGGGCCACUGGAGCUUAUGAAGUCUAUCGGCCUACGGAUCCGCGAGUCAAUCGAUGUAUCAUGAGUGAUUCUGCAAAUAUUCAAGAUCGAGAGCUCCCUUACUUCAUUGGAAGUUGGAUUAAGGUACAUUGAAACAUGUGCAUUGAAAUGGCUAAAAGUGUACAAUCAUCUGAGUUGUUUUAUCAUGAUAUCAUCGAGACUGAACUGGAAGUCAGCCAUAAUUAAGACGAAUUGACCUUCUCGUUAAUGUGGAAUGACACUACGUGAACAUGUCAAGUGUCUAGAGAUAAAUGAGGAAGUAUUCAACAACUGGGUGAGAGUAAAGUUAAUGUUUACUAGGCUGGCAAAAUCGUCGAAAAGGGACCCCCAAUGCCUCGACCACUGAGAUCUGUCUUCUCUCAAAAUUGACGAUUCCAAAAAAACGUAUUUUAUCAGGUCGAAUCUUGUAAUUAACAUUUUCAAAACCGUAAUUCACAUUUAUCAAAUCGUAAUUUACGAGGUAGAAACUCGUUUCACGAGUGGGGAAAACGUAAUCUCACGAACGCGCGUUAGCACGUGUUGUAAUUAUAAAAAUCAUGAUUGGAAAUUUCAAAAUUAAAUUAAUUCAGAAUUUAAAUUGGCUGCCCGAGACAGCUGUGAACCAAUUAGGACACCGUGAUAGACUUUCAAGUUUGCCCUUUUUAUAGUAGAGAAUAUUUCUAUUUCGGUAUUGCUUUUCAGGGAUUCAUUUUUAGGCAUUGGCGCUAAAUUCUUCCCAAAUUUGAAAAUGUAAAUAUCACUGCAGAGAGAUAUUGUUGGGGUUGUUACGAUGGGCUAUGGGUUGUUACGAUGGGCUUCAAUGAAAUAAUUACUCAUUUUCAAACGAAUACAUCAUAAUUUACGCUCUACAGGGAAUCCCCUGGUAAAAUGAGCAUUUAAAAUAUUUAAAAAAUGGAAUUCUAUUUUCAUAUGAAAGAAAAUCCACCCAACAAAAUACAUUCCCUAGAAUACGAUAUUUUUCUUUCAGUGUAUGAAACUCCUAUUUGUAAAUAAUCUCCCGCGAAGGUACAUAUAAUACACAUACGUCGAGCCUGACGAGGGGUUACUCCCUACAACAUCAACGACCACAACAAUCUAUUCUUUUCGGUUGAGAAUAAAUGAUGAGAAAAAGAGAAAAAGUGAAAUAUAAGAUUCACCGUGUUCGUGAAUCGACCUUUCUUUAUCCCUUAUCAGUUGCAUUUAAUUUGCAUGGCUCAACAAUCGUCCGAGUUGCAUCAGACGUCGAUAUUUAUCAUGUGUGAUUACUAGAUAUAUGUUGAGAAGUCCACAGAGGAAAUUUUCCCCCCUUCUCCAUAUUUUUUUGUCAUUCACUUUGAUCCGUGACUACAAGGGUUUUGUUCUCACUGGGGGAUAUAUUGAAAAUUCCAAACGUCUGUCCACUAGUGAUCGCCAACCAGCGUAACCACUUGCUUCCUCUCUCUCCCUCCCACCCCCCCUCUUCCUCUCAGACUGUGAUAAUUUAUUGGAUUUUUUUUUUUCGAUUUGAAGAAUCAAUAGUCUUAGAAGAAAAGAAUUGUUUUUUAGGAAUGAAAUCAAGAAUAAGUGGGAAUCGCUGUUGUUGAUCGUUUGAAGGCCACUAAAGAAAUUGAUAAGGGAGGCCAGUGUGGGGGUAAAACUAGUAGAAAUAAUGUUUCGGUAAACACCCAGUUGCCGCACGUUGGCUUUUGUUAAACGAACAUAAUCGGUCUUUAGUAGUACGAGAUUGAUGUUUGAGUAAAUAUUUCCGUGGAAAUAUGCUGGCCAGGCAUCUAUUGUUCCUAGCAACACGCCGACCCCUUGAGCGCUCGUUUUAGCUGUGUGUAGUAUCAUUCAAAAAGCACACGUAUGCGUACUACUCAUUAAUAGAAUGCAUUUGUAUGCGGGCACGCAUAAUAUAUAACAUCGUAUCUUGGUUCAGCACAGGGCCAUUCUACAUCAUUUCCAAACAAAAUUAGAAAAUCGACGAUCACAAAAAUUCUAUUCGAAAGCAAAAAUACUGAAAUAUUUAAAACGUCAAGUUAAUUUAUGAAUAACGCCAACUGGAACCGAUUCAACGCAUUGAUCAUACACCUGCGGCAUCUGAUUGGACGUCCAACUUUGCUCAUGGGAACUUGACUCCAAAAAAGUCGACUUGGCGCGCCAAUUUAUCACCAAAUUUAAUUUGACGUUCCCAUGGAAUAACAACAAUUCUAAUCGCGUGAAUACCGAGAUAAUUUAUU